CGCUGUUUCUUGAUAUUAGCUGGAUUUGGUGAUAAUUAGACGCACGAGAGGCAUUUCGCGUUGUAACUAAGAACAAGUCGCCCACCAAAACGAUCAGCAAAAAUUACAACGACGACGCCAGUUUCGAUGCGCAUUUACAUUUCAUCUCUGGGACAUCUUAAUGAAGCGAAGCACAAACGCAUUCGCUGGAAAAGUAAGCAGAGAUUUUACCAAUAGAAAGUCAUCAAGCUCUUUAGGAGCGUCGCUGGUACUAUUUGUAGUCUGGUCACUAGGUACACAUACAGUUGGUUAAACUGGCGACACGUAAGCCAAACGCACUACUGAGCAAUGUGAAAAUGAAUUUCCACACUCAAUCCCGAAGGUCUAUGCAACAGAAGGCAUUUUCUCCAAAAUCCAGUGCAAAACAUCAUGGAAAAUCCUUAACGGUAUAAAAGUAUCACAAGCAAGUUUCCUAUCUUCUUAUACAGCUGUUUAAUGGAAUUUAAACAAGAACAAAUUUUAAAGAUCUGCAUCUCACUCAUUAUGGAUAUACCAGCUUGGUUUCUGAAGCAAUUAAAUGAGAAGAAGUGAAAUAGAGAAGGGGUAUCAAUCAUCAUCUUCAGGGUGCACACACACACACGCGUGCCAAAGCAAAUAGUAAGAAUUUGAUGAGAAAUAAAUACACAUACAUCUUGUAAAGUCAUCUUCAAACAUCUUUUCAUUCUAACUCAUUUCCUGAUGUCCUAACCGUUUAAUGGUACUUGCCACAUAUUAUAAAAUCUGUCCAACU